UGAGUGAGUACUAUCUUUAAAUUCCUCAACCAGUCCACAUAGUUUGGUCCGGUCAACUUGUUGGCAUCUAAGAUGCCUCUUAGUGAAAGUGAAGAAGCUAUUUAAUAAUUCUACAUAUGCAAGAACAAAACUAAUAUAAGCAGACCAAUCAUGAUGACAUGUUUGCAACUAGAUAAGGACUUUAAUCUAAUUUGUCUCCUACUAUUUUUAUCGAAUUUCAUAGCCCUCUU
rnacentral:lncRNA from 1 species